GAACAUUUUUUUAUUGAAGUAAAACAAUUUUAAAAUAAACAAAGACAACAUAAAAUAACAUCACAUUAAGGGCCAUUCACCCAUGUAUACAUGUAUAAUGUACAGACAUCACAGGCACGUAUGGAGGAAGGGGCACAGUGCAGAUAAAGCCUGAUCGUUAUGUCCUGCACUCAGAGCUAUCGAAACCAUAGUGUCUUCUAUAGCUACAGAAUCCACAGCGCCUCCUUUAGCAUCUAAACCAACAUUAACUACAGUGGCUCUGUUAGCAUCUAAACCAACAUUAACUACAGUGGCCCCUAUAGAUUCUAUAGCUACAGAAUCCAUAGCUGUCCCUUUAGCUUUUGUAGCUAGAUUAAUCUACAGCCACUGCUAUAGAUACAGAAUACAGAACACAGUGGCUCCUGUAGCUUCUAUAGAAUACAGAACACAGAAUAGUGGUUCCUGUAGCUUCUAUAGAUAUAGAACACAGAGGCUCCUGUAGCUUCUAUAGAUAUAGAACACAUUGGCUCCUGUAUCUUCUGUAGAACACAGAACACAUUGGCUCCUGUAUCUUCUAUAGAACACAGAACACAUUGGCUCCUGUAUCUUCUAUAGAACACAGAACACAGAACACAGUGGCUCCUGCAGCUUCUAUAGCUGUGGAGAAUAUACUGCGGCUCCUAUUGCCCCUGUAGGUUGGCUGCUCCUCUGAGAGUGGUUGUGACUAACAGGGUCAGGCUGCCCCUCAGCAGAGCAGGGCAGACUGGGUCAUUUCAUCCCUCGCCAGCGGGCUGAGGUGCCUGCAGACACCCCCACCAUUUUCCACCUCAUUCAGCACUGGCCCAUUCGGCCGAGCAAGAGCUCAUCCAGCGGUCUGUCUGUCUGUCUGAGAGCAGGGAUGAUCUGAUGAACUGUGGGGAGUCUGUUUGUAGCUGUUGUGAAACUGACAAUGCAAACUGCCUCUGGCUCUAAUCUGGCCCCGGCGUGUUCUGCCGUGUUUUCUAGCAUGUGCUGCCACUACUCAGUCCCCCCAGGAUUUCGCGGGCCUUUUUUGUGAUAGUUGCGGCCUAAAAUUCCUGAUUUCGCGGGAGCUUUUCCAAAAAGUUGCGAUGAAAGUUGCGGGGUUUUUUAGGUGUUUGUUGCGAUGAAAUUGCGGGAGUAAGUGAAAUGUGCGAUAAAAAAGUUGCGAAUUUCCCUCUUUGUAAUUAUAAUUUAGUUAUUGGUUGAAAAAUAAGUAAUUAAUAAACAAACAUUCAUUAAAGAACA
rnacentral:lncRNA from 1 species